AUCAGCAGAGGCAGUGUCAUAGCCGAUGAGGUACUACCGAGGCGUGACUAUUGCUAGUUGAAAACUGUAUUCAAUUUUUACAUUGUGCAUAUAUAUUACGUUUAGAAAGAAUUUCUUUCUGCUGAUUUACUGUGUCGUUUCUG